UUAUUAAACUAAAAAUGGAGCCUUAAAUAUAAAACUUUGAACAACUCCUUAUCCAUUGUACUAUGACUCCAACCUGCACAUGUGUGCAUGCACAUGCACACACACACACACAAUCUUGCUAUCAGGUAUCACUCAACUAAAUUACAGUUGCAGAAUCUGGGUUUUCUGCUUGCAGAGUUUGAGAGUUCUAGCAAAGCAUUCUAAAUCUAGUUUAGUGAUAUGUGGAAUCCGUGAAGUAAUCAGGGCCUGAUAUGUAGGGUUCCUCAAACUCACACUGGGCAGGAAAUACUUACAGAGUUGUGACCAAAAAAACCUGUUCCAAAGAGAAGUGAGGGCAGAAACAGAAAAACCAGACUAUGAUAUCCCCAUUUCCUGCUCCUUAGCAAGUUAUGCACAGAACUGUCAUGUCCACUAGUAUAGUGAAACAGGAACAUGGGGGGGGGUAAUGUUCUGAUACUUUUUUCACAGAAGGAGCAAAAGGAUGUCAUCUGCCAAGGCUGUAUUUGCCAGUGUUGUAAGCUGGGCAGGGUGGGGUGAAGGUGGAAGGCAGGGCUGGCUUGACCUGACACAUGCUCCCUUUGUUAGGUAGGCUAGGUUCAUACAGUGACUGGCCCAAGAACACCCAGUGAAUUUGAUGCCUGAUCAGAGAUGUGAACCUAUGUCUCCCCAGCCAAAGUCCAACAUGCUAACCACUGCACAAACACCAUUUGCCAGAUCACUAUUCUAUGACAGUCAGCUAAUCCUAAUACAAUGAGUAUUAUUAUGUUCUGUUGCUCUUUGGUGUUUACUUUUCCUGGGAUUGUGGUUAUGGGAACUUUCAUUAAAAGCUCCUGCACAUCAAAAUGUACUACCAGUAGUUAUGCCAUUAUCUGUAAAAUGGAAGUCAUGGAAGCAAUGGACUCAGGAGAAAAUGUAAGUUAGUUGGAAGAACACCACGCUUUUGCAUAUGACCUAAACCUCCUAAAACCAGCACCACUCGUUUGUUAUUAGGCAUUUUGCAGAGCCAUCCGUGAGUUUUCCAGAUGAGGGUUGUUCUGUCCGAAGAGGAGUUCUGUGCAACUCAGAAGGCUUACUACCCAGUUUUAUCAGCAUGACUACUAUCUCUCAAACAGUGAAAGGCUACUUGUUCUCUUGAAUUGGCAGAGAAAUUCACCAGACAUGCAGGCUGAUCCUAUCCACAUUUACUCCCAAGUUCGAGUGAGUUCAGUGGGAUUUUCUCCCAGGGUCUAGAAAAUUCUCCAGCCAUGUUGAUUUUGGAGAAGAGAAGAUGAAGGGAAAACAUGACCGCACUCUUUAAAUACCAGAUGGCUUGUCAUGCAGAAGAUGGAGGAGACUUAUUCUCGGUUGCUCCAGAGGGCAGGACUAGAACCAAGUACUUAAGCAGAGGCUGGAGGGCCAUGAGUCAGGGAUGCUGUAGAGAACUGAAUUGUACUUCUGUCCUGCAUUGCAGAUCCUGCAUUGACCAGAGGGUUGGACUAGAUGAUCUCCAAUGUACUCUCCAAUAAUAUUGCCAUAGUAUUAUUAUUAUUUUAAAUACUGAACACAUAUGAUAAUCUAAGAUCAACUCAAUUUACUGUUCUUGCUUUUUAACAUUUACAACUAUAUUUUGUCAACAUUACUAGAUAUUCCUCCCAUUCUUGGACACUAAAUAUGGGAUAUUUGUAUAAAUAAAGUCUGGUGGGGUGAAGAAGAAAGGAGGAGGUGAAGGAGAGCAAUCCAAACCCAGAGGCAUUUGCACCAACAAUAAAGCUGUUUUGCCAAUAUCUGGGAGGUAAAAUGUAUACAAACAAAUUGGAGGAUAAAGGGACCGGAGUAAAUGCUUCGCACCUGUUAUAAGGGGUCCUCAGGAGCAGAGCCUGGCUGCCUGUGCAACUGUCUGUGGGAGUGUGGCAACCAUAGACAG